GAUGAACGCUGGCGGCGUGCCUAAUACAUGCAAGUCGAGCGAAGCGGGGACGGGUGAGUAACACGUGGAUAACCUCCUAUAAGACUGGGAUAACUUCGGGAAACCGUAGCUAAACCGGAUACCUAUAGAUGGAUCCGCGGGGCAUUAGCUAGUUGGUAAGGUAACGGCUUACCAAGGACACGAUGCAUAGCCGACCUGAGAGGGUGAUCGGCAACACGGAAACUGGGACACUGUCCAGACGCCUACGGGAGUCAGCAGUAGGGAAUUUUCCACAAUGGGCGAAAGCCUGACGGAGCAACGCCGCGUGAGGGAUGAAGGUCUUCGGAUCGUAAAACGCUGUUAGUAGGGAAGCGGUACCUAAUCAGAAAGCCACGGCUAACUACGUGCCAGCCGCCGCGGUAAUUC
rnacentral:rRNA from 1 species